CAGUAGCCACGGGAAUACGGAGGGUGCAAGCGUUAAUCGGAAUUACUGGGCGUAAAGCGCACGCAGGCGGUCUGACAAGUCAGAUGUGAAAUCCCCGGGCUUAACCUGGGAACUGCAUUUGAAACUGUCAGGCUGGAGUCUUGUAGAGGGGGGUAGAAUUCCAGGUGUAGCGGUGAAAUGCGUAGAGAUCUGGAGGAAUACCGGUGGCGAAGGCGGCCCCCUGGACAAAGACUGACGCUCAGGUGCGAAAGCGUGGGGAGCAAACAGGAUUAGAUACCCCGGUAGUCCCUGUCUCUUAUAC
rnacentral:rRNA from 1 species